UUGCGCAGUAACCUGCAUGUCUGUAAAAAGCCGCUUGCUGGGCUAGAAAGAGAAGGGAAGCCUCUGCUAACCAAAGAUAACGAAUUAGCUAGAUCAAUAAAAGCGUUGUACAGUCAUUUAGCUAACUAUUUUAAUAUAUGAUUAAAUAAACGACGAAGAUAGUGGCGUAAUAUUGUUACUGUUGGUAAUCUUAGUUUGCAAUGCUAUGCUAACUUUAGCUAGCUACGUAGCUAACGUUACUUGACUAUUAUUUCCAAAGCUGCAAAAUAAGAAGUUACCAAUCUAACAUUAAUCCUCUACAAUAUAUAUUUGUCUCACAAUAUAUAACGCAGCUGAUGACGAAGAUGCUGCUUUUUGGCAACACCUUCUGUCCAAAGAAUAACCCUCGCAAGUUUUUUUCUGUCUUAAAUCUGCACACGUUGGAUUGGUCUACGAGGGAAAUAGAGUUGGGUCUUGAGUAUGGAGCCCCUGUUAUGAACAUUGGGGGCAAUAGCUUGACAUUUGAAGACGGACAAUGGAUUGCUGUCUGAAGGGAAUGUAUCUGGGAAGGAGGCGCAGACUGAAAAAUAGCAACCUAUAGCUUGAAAAGGAGAACAACCUACUCGGGCUGAAGAUUGACCUCCUGUUGGACAUGUUGUCAGAAACCACUGCAGAGUAUCACCUGAUAGAGAAGGAGCUGGAAAAGAUGAAGAUUCACAGUCGAAGGAAGAAGUGAUGAAUAGAAAAUUACAGACAGGUUCCCAGUGAUACCUGAAAAUGAAGAAGGGAAUAGAUAAAGGAUUGUGAGUGUUAGUGACCAAUUCAUUGUAUUUGAUUUAUUUUACCUUUAUUUAACCAGGAAAGUCAGUUAAGAACAAAUUCUUAAUUUUUUUUAACCUUUAUUUAACUAAACAAGUCAGUUAAGAACAAAUUAUUAUUUACAAUGAAGGCCUACCCCGGCCAAACCCUAACCCGGAUGACGUUGGGCCAAUUGUGCGCCGCCCUAUGGGACUCCCGAUCACAGCCGGUUGUGAUACAGCCUGGAAUCGAACCAGGGUCUGUAGUGACGCCUCUAGCACUGAGAUGCAGUGCAUGACACAGAACCCAAACCGUCUGCGUGCGCCAUCGUGCAUAAAUGUAUUUUGUCCCCCUACACCAAACGCGAUCGCGACACGCAGGUUAAAAUAUCAAAACGAACUCUGAACCAAUUAUAUUCAUUUGGGAACAGGUCAAAAAGCAUUAAACAUUUAUGGUAAUUUAGCUAGUUAGCUUGCACUUGCUAGCUAAUUUGUCCUAUUUAGCUAGCUUGCUGUUGCUAGCUAAUUUGUCCUGGGAUAUAAGCAUUGAGUUGUUAUUUACCUGACAAUUAAUCCACAGAUAAAACGGUCAACUGAAUCGUUUCUAGUCAUCUCUCCUCCUUCCAGGCUUUUUCAUCUUUGAACUUACAGUGGGGCAAAAAAGUAUUUAGUCAGCCACCAAUUGUGCAAGUUCUCCCACUUAAAAAGAUGAGAGAGGCCUGUAAUUUUCAUCAUAGGUACACUUCAACUAUGACAGACAAAAAUGCCCAACUGUUUAUGGUGAUUGGCAUCUAAACUUUCAUAGUAUUACUACACCGACCGGCAACACAGUUCGUCUUUCAAUCACCCACGUGGGUAUAACCAAUGAGGAGAUGGCACGUGGGUACCUGCUUCUAUAAACCAAUGACAAGAUGGGAGAGGCAGGAUUUGCAGUGCAAUCUGCGUCAGAAAUAGAAAGGACUUCUAUUUUAGCCCUUGGCAACACAGACACUCGCGAGCAGUGUGGGUGCAAUAAUUGAAUAACAGAUUUUCUACAUUUAUUUUGCAAAGCUCGCGCACGCGUUGCGAGUGGUGUGGUCGGCCUAUUAGACCACUGCACCACUCGGGAGCCCAUGUACUGUAUAAAUGAUAUAUUUCUAAUUUCUACGGAUUUAAAAUCAUUGAAGUUAUGAUAGUUUAAAUGUGUCCUGUCCUUUUAUAAAAUGCAUUUAUUUGAUUCAUUAACUUUUGUAAGCCACUGAUGACCUAUUUUAGAAUACUAUGAUUUCUGGUUUUGGCAGCUAAGUGUAUUUUAAUAUUUGAUUUCAGAUUUCUUCUACUUUAUUAAAAGGUUUUAAAUACAUUUUAGAAAGCUAUGUUUUGUUUGUUUGCAUACAUGUCUGUAUAAGUAUGCAAGUGCCCAUACUAAUGCCACCGUCUGAUGUGGUAUUUUCAAGAGGUAGUGGCUGGUAUUGGUGAUUUAUAGUGGUUAGUAUUGGUGAUUUAUAGUGGCCGGUAUUGGUGGUUAUAGUGGCCGGUAUUGAAUGAACAACACUUUCAGAAUUUUCUGAUUAAUUCAGCAUAACAGCAUGACCUUAGAAUUGUCAGAAACCCAGGAGUGACAGGGACUAUAUUCUAGAUGUGGAGGUCACACAUUCAACAUGUCUUCAGGACUAUAUCUUGGGUUAUUACCGCCUCUCUCUCAGUUUCCUGUGGUUUUGUGUCACAGGUGAGAUGAUUGUUGUUAUUACAAUGUAAUUGCUAGAUGGUUAUUGUUACACCAGAUGCUGAAUGUGACUGCAAGCUGUACUGCACAGACAAACGUCAUUAGAGGUAUUUAAUUCUAUGGCUCAAUAGCUUUCACAAACUGGCCAAGUCCGUGUAAACAAAUUCUAUAAAGACAAUCAUAAUCCAAAGGCUCAGUCAGUCAUACAUUGAGUAAGCAUUGCAGGUCAGGCUACACCGGUGUGUGGGAAAACACAUAGACCUUUUGACCGAGUAUGGUAAUGAAUUGACCAAGAGUGAUGUUUGAAUUAUUAGUCAUUGUACCAGUACAGUGUGAGCCACAGAACCUUUCUUCCAAAAUAUAUCAUUGAUCGGUUUGUGAGGGUUUGAGAAAUGAGUCUUCUUGGCCAACUUACAGACCCACUCCUUCCUCCUAGAGAGGACUAUCCUCUUGAGGGACAAUGGGAGUCCGUACAACCAAGAGGAUGAGUGCUGGACCCCUAAUGGUGGCUGGAUGCUGGAUGGUGGCUGGACCCCUGUUGGUUGCUGUGGCUGGAUGGUGGCUGGGGCUAGACUUUGCCUGGGGCUGGAUGGUGGCUGGGGCUACUCAUCUGUUUCGUCGUCACUGGGUUCUGCUACGCCUCCCCAAAAGCUGUCAGUGUCUCCUUCAAGGAGCUGAUGAGGGACUUUGAUGUGGGCCACAGUGACACGGUCUGAAUCUCCUCCAUCAUGCUGCCCAUGCUCAAUGGAUCAGGUCAGAGGUCAAUCAUAGAGUUGAUACAGGGGCCUCUGAGAGCUUGAAUCGUAUACGAAACAAAGCUGUCAGAUGUUUAAAAAAAAUAUAUAUAAAAAAACAUUCAAUGGGAGAAACAAAACAGAAAUGUGAGUCUCUUGCAGUUCUGCAUCAUUUCAUUAAUAAAUACACAUGGCCUGUUUGUCUGUGAACGCCUUCUGCCCAGGCCCAGUGUCCAGUAUCACGGUCAACAGGUUUGACAGCAGGUCGUGAUGCAGGUCGGAGGUUUGCUGGCAUCAGCAGGCAUGGUGGGAGCUUCCUUCACCACCGCCAUUAAACAGCUUUACCUUUCAGGUUCUGCUAGACCACUAUGGCUGAAGACAAGGCUUUCUCAUCAUGGGGGACUGCUGCUCAACUGUGGGGCUUUCAUGAGACCUCUGGAGAGGAGGAGGAAAUGGGAGAAGGGAACGAACCAGCGCUGAAAGAAAAGUUUCCUUCAAAAGUAGGAAAGGAGAAGAAUGGAAUAGAAAAUAAGCUUUUGGACUUAAGGGGGAUGCCUGAACAGGGGGCUGUUGAUCUUCACUGAGUGGACAAAACAUUUGGAACACCUUCCUAAUAUUGAGUUGCACCCCUUUUUCAGUCGGAAUAGCCUCAAUUCAUCGGGGCAUGGACUCUACAAGGUGUCAAGCGUUCCACAGGGAUGCUGGCCCAUGUUGACUCCAAUGCUUCCCACAGUUGUGUCAUGUUGGCUGGAUGUCGUUUGGGUGGUCAACCAUUCUUGAUACACACGGGAAACUUGACCGUGAAAACCACAGCAGCGUUGCAGUUCUUGACGCACUCAAACCGGUGCGCCUGGCACCUACUAGCAUACCACGUUCAAAGGCACUUAAAUCUGUUAUUUUGCCCAUUCACCCUCUGAAGGGCACACGUACAAAAUACAUGUCUCAUUUGUCCCAAGGCUUGAAAAUACUUAUUUAACCUGACUCCUCCCCACAUGCACAAGUACAGUGAAAUGCCUUUCUUGCAGCUCUAACCCCAACAAUGCAGGAAUCAAUAACAAUGUAAUACUAAAAAAAAACAUAAGGUAGGAAAAAACACACACUAAAUAGAAAUAAGAAGAUGAGAAAGUAAGAAGCUAUAUACAGGGUCAGUUCCAGGGUCAGUAGUGAAAUACAGGGUCAGUAGCGAAAUACAGGGUCAGUUCCAGGGUCAGUAGCGAAAUACAGGGUCAGUUCCAGGUUCAGUUCCAAUACCAUAUUUACAAUAUGCAGGGUUACUGGAGUGAUAGAGGUACAGUGCCUUUAGAACGUUUUCAUACCCCUUGAUUUAUUCAACAUUUUGUUGUGUUACAGCCUGAAUUCACAAUACCCCAUAAUGACAAAGUGAAAACAUUUUUUUGAAACGUUUGCCAAUUUAUUGAAAAUGAAAUACAGAAAUAUCUCAUUUACAUAAGUAUUCACACCCCUGAAUCAAUACAUGUUAGAAGCACCUUGGCAGCCAUUACAGCUUUGAUUAUUUCUGGAUAAAUCGCUAAGAGUU